rnacentral:rRNA from 1 species
CAAUAGCGUAUAUUAAAGUUGUUGCAGUUAAAAAGCUCGUAGUUGAAUUUCUGUCAGGAGUGACCGGGCCUUUGGAUGAACUUCCAUUGUUUUUUGCUCUGUUUGUCAUCUCUAGACAUCCUGAAAUAUUUUUUAAAAAUAUUUCUCUUUUACUGUUAGCAAAAUAGAGUGUUCCAAGCAAAGCGUAGUUUUGAAUACAUUAGAAUGGAAUAAUAAGAUAGGACUUUGGUGCUAUUUUGUUGGUUUGCGCACCAAGGUAAUGAUUAAUAGGGACAGUUGGGGGUAUUCGUAUUUAAUUGUCAGAGGUGAAAUUCUUGGAUUUAUGAAAGACGAACUACUGCGAAAGCAUUUACCAAGGAUGUUUUCAUUAA